UUGAUAUAUGAAAUAACAUUUGUUUGUGAACUUGACACGAUAUGUAUGAGAUUAUGGCACUGGAUAGAGGUGAUGAACUGCCGCAGGUGAUGAUGGCGCUAACGCGAGACGGGCAACUCUACCCGAGCCUCGCUAAAGGUUGAAAAGAGGUGAACAGCUGGGUUGAAAAGAGGGAACAGUGGUCAGAAGGGU